rnacentral:rRNA from 1 species
AGAGUUUGAUCCUGGCUCAGAACGUACGCUGGCGGCACGCUUAACACAUGCAAGUCGAACGAAGUAGCAAUACUUAGUGGCAGACGGGUGAGUAUAAUGUGGGAAUCUGCCUUUUGGUUUAGAAUAACUCGGGGAAACUUGAGCUAAUACUAGAUAAGCCCUCACGGGGAAAGCUUUAUGCGCCAAGAGAUGAGCCCGCACUUGAUUAGCUUGUUGGUGAGGUAAAAGCUCACCAAGGCAACGAUCAAUAGCUGUUCUUAGAGGAAGACCAGCCACAUUGGGACUGAGACACGGCCCAGACUCCUACGGGAGGCAGCAGUGGGGAAUCUUGCACAAUGGGGGAAACCCUGAUGCAGCGAUGCCGCGUGAGUGAAGAAGGCCUUUGGGUUGUAAAACUCUUUCGUCGGGGAAGAAAAUGACUGUACCCGAAUAAGAAGGUCCGGCCAACUACGUGCCAGCAGCCGCGGUAACACGUAGGGAGCAAGCGUUGUCCGGAUUUAUUGGGCGUAAAGAGCUCGUAGGCGGUUCGGUAAGUCGGGUGUGAAAACUUGAGGCUCAACCUCAAGAGGCCACUCGAUACUGCUGUGACUGGAGUCCGGUAGAGGAGUGUGGAAUUCCUGGUGUAGCGGUGAAAUGCGCAGAUAUCAGGAGGAACACCAGUUGCGAAGGCGGAUCUCUGGACGGUUCCUGACGCUGAGGCACGAAAGCUGGGGUAGCGAAGAGGAUUAGAUACCCUCGUAGUCCCAGCCGUAAACGGUGCACACUUGCUGUGGGCGGAUUCGACCCCGUCCGUGGCGAAGCUAACGCGAUAAGUGUGCCGCCUGGGGAGUACGGUCGCAAGAUUAAAACUCAAAGAAAUUGACGGGGGCCUGCACAAGCGGUGGAGUAUGUGGCUUAAUUCGAUGCAACGCGAAGAACCUUACCUGGCCUUGACAUGUAGUGGCCCGGGUGCGAAAUCACCCUUUUCUUCGGAACUGCUACACAGGUGCUGCAUGGCUGUCGUCAGCUCGUGUCGUGAGAUGUUGGGUUAAGUCCCGCAACGAGCGCAACCCCCGUGUUCUGUUGCCACCCGGAUGUAAAUCCGGAGCACUCUGGACAGACUGCCUGGUUUCAACUAGGAGGAAGGUGGGGAUGACGUCAAGUCAGUAUGGCCCUUACGGCCAGGGCUGCACACGUACUACAAUGCCUGAUAUAAUGGGAAGCAAGACCGCGAGGUGGAGCAAAUCCUCAAAAUCAGGCCCAGUUCAGAUUGUAGGCUGCAACUCGACUGCAUGAAGCAGGAAUCGCUAGUAAUCGCGCAUCAGCAUGGCGCGGUGAAUACGUUCCCGGGUCUUGUACACACCGCCCGUCACGCCAUGGAAGCCGGUAGCACCCAAUGUCAGUGUCCUAACCUUCGGGGAGGAGCUGCUUAAGGUGAGAUUGGUAACUGGGGCGAAGUCGUAACAAGGUAACC